UAGGGAAUCUUCCGCAAUGGGCGAAAGCUUGACGGAGCAACGCCGCGUGAGUGAUGAAGGUCUUCGGAUCGUAAAACUCUGUUAUUAGGGAAGAACAAAUGUGUAAGUAACUAUGCACGUCUUGACGGUACCUAAUCAGAAAGCCACGGCUAACUACGUGCCAGCAGCCGCGGUAAUACGUAGGUGGCAAGCGUUAUCCGGAAUUAUUGGGCGUAAAGCGCGCGUAGGCGGUUUUUUAAGUCUGAUGUGAAAGCCCACGGCUCAACCGUGGAGGGUCAUUGGAAACUGGAAAUCUUGAGUGCAGAAGAGGAAAGUGGAAUUCCAUGUGUAGCGGUGAAAUGCGCAGAGAUAUGGAGAAACACCAGUGGCGAAGGCGACUUUCUGGUCUGUAACUGACGCUGAUGUGCGAAAGCGGGGGGAUCAAACAGG
rnacentral:rRNA from 1 species